rnacentral:rRNA from 1 species
GAUGAACGCUGGCGGCGUGCCUAAUACAUGCAAGUCGAGCGGACGGACGAGAAUCUUGCUUCUCUGAUGUUAGCGGCGGACGGGUGAGUAACACGUGGAUAACCUACCUAUAAGACUGGGAUAACUUCGGGAAACCGGAGCUAAUACCGGAUGAUAUUUUGAACCGCAUGGUUCAAAAGUGAAAGACGGUCUUGCUGUCACUUAUAGAUGGAUCCGCGCUGCAUUAGAUAGUUGGUAAGGUAACGGCUUACCAAGGCAACGAUGCAUAGCCGACCUGGGAGAGUGAUCGGCCACACUGGAACUGGAACACGGUCCAGACUCCUACGGGAGGCCGCAGUAGGGAAUCUUCCGCAAUGGGCGAAAGCCUGACGGAGCAACGCCGGGUGAGUGAUGAAGGUCUUCGGGUCGGAAAACUCUGUUAUUAGGGAAGAACAUAUGUGUAAGUAACUGUGCACAUCUUGACGGUACCUAAUCAGAAAGCCACGGCUAACUACGUG